rnacentral:rRNA from 1 species
GACGAACGCUGGCGGCGUGCUUAACACAUGCAAGUCGAACGGAAAGGCCCUGCGUUUGUGGGGUGCUCGAGUGGCGAACGGGUGAGUAAAACGUGAGUAAACUGCCCUUGACUUUGGGAUAACUUCAGGAAACUGGGGCUAAUACCGGAUAGGAGCUCCUGCUGCAUGGUGGGGGUUGGAAAGUUUCGGCGGUCGGGGAUGGACUCGCGGCAUAUCAGCUUGUUGGUGGGGUAGUGGCUUACCAAGGCUUUGACGGGUAGCCGGCCUGAGAGGGUGAACGGCCACAUUGGGACUGAGAUACGGCCCAGACUCCUACGGGAGGCAGCAGUGGGGAAUAUUGCACAAUGGGCGGAAGCCUGAUGCAGCAACGCCGCGUGCGGGAUGACGGCCUUCGGGUUGUAAACCGCUUUCGCCUGUGACGAAGCGUGAGUGACGGUAAUGGGUAAAGAAGCACCGGCUAACUACGUG